rnacentral:rRNA from 1 species
GGACUACUGGGGUUUCUAAUCCCAUUCGCUACCCACGCUUUCGUCCUAGCAGUGUCAGGUGGCACCCAGAAGCCUGCCUUCGCUAUUGGUGUUCUGAACGAUAUCAACGGAUAUUACCCCUACACCGUUCAUUCCAGCUUCCUCUUUGCCCCUCAAGUCUUACAGUUCCAAAGGACAGAUUCCGAGUUGAGCUCGGAGAUUUCACCUCUGGCUUAUAAGACCACCGAUCGGUACGCUUUACGCCCAAUGAUUCCGGAUAACGCUUGAGGUCUCUGUAUUACCGCGGCGGCUGGCAC